CGAGAAAGCCCGCAAGGGUGAGUAAACCGGCGAACGGGUGCGUAACACGUGGAUAAUCUACCUUCCUGACUGGGACAACUGGCCGAAAGGCUUGCUAAUACCAGAUAAGCCCACGGCGUCUUUGGACGCUGAGGGAAAAGGUGGCCUCUGCAUGCAAGCUAUCGCAGGGAGAUGAGUCCGUGGCCCAUCAGCUAGUUGGCGGGGUAAAAGCCACCAAGGCUACGACGGGUAGCUGGUCUGAGAGGAUGAUCAGCCACACUGGAACUGAGACACGGUCCAGACUCCUACGGGAGGCAGCAGUGGGGAAUCUUGCGCAAUGGGCGAAAGCCUGACGCAGCAACGCCGCGUGUGUGAUGAAGGUCUUCGGAUCGUAAAGCACUGUCGCGAGGGACG
rnacentral:rRNA from 1 species